rnacentral:rRNA from 1 species
CAGCAGCCGCGGGAAUACGUAGGUCCCGAGCGUUGUCCGGAUUUAUUGGGCGUAAAGCGAGCGCAGGCGGUUAGAUAAGUCUGAAGUUAAAGGCUGUGGCUUAACCAUAGUACGCUUUGGAAACUGUUUAACUUGAGUGCAAGAGGGGAGAGUGGAAUUCCAUGUGUAGCGGUGAAAUGCGUAGAUAUAUGGAGGAACACCGGUGGCGAAAGCGGCUCUUUGGCUUGUAACUGACGCUGAGGCUCGAAAGCGUGGGGAGCAAACAGGAUUAGAUACCCCUGUAGUCCCUGUCUCUUAUACA